rnacentral:rRNA from 1 species
AUUGAACGCUGGCGGCAGGCCUAACACAUGCAAGUCGAACGAGUGGCGGACGGGUGAGUAAUGUCUGGGAAACUGCCCGAUGGAGGGGGCUAACUACUGGAAACGGUAGCUAAUACCGCAUACCAUCGGAUGUGCCCAGAUGGGAUUAGCUAGUAGGUGGGGUAACGGCUCACCUAGGCGACGAUCCCUAGCUGGGCUGCGAGGAUGACCGGACACACUGGAACUGAGACACGGUCCAGACUCCUACGGGAGGCAGCAGUGGGGAAUAUUGCGCAAUGGGCGGAAGCCUGAUGCAGCCAUGCGGCGUGUAUGAAGAAGGCCUUCGGGUUGUAAAGGACUUUCAGCGAGGAGGCGUUACUCGCAGAGGAAGCACCGGCUAACUCCGUGCCAGCCGCCGCGGUAAUAC